AUAUUUAUAUUUAUGUAUGCUGUACAGGGUUCCCGACGCAAAUGGUUUUAAACGAGCCUUUUUUUCCUGCAUUCAGAGUAGCUAUAAGAGUAUAAUCGGAUCUGCGUCAAAGCUUAUUCUUUCAUGCGCUGCUUCAAAUACAAGCUAGCUUGUUAUUUAGUCUAUCUGACUACAUAAAAGCUUUGCAAAAAGUCUAAUCCAAGUAGUAACCAUUUCUAGAAGCUCGUCACACCGACGUAAACGACAAGUGACGUGUGCGCGCGCGUACUGAUGGAGCGCGUUCUCGUCACCGCACGAUCCGCGCUAUACUAUAUAAACCCAGCACAUACCAUCAGCCCCCACGAGGCACGACUCCCAGCUUCACAGUGUUCAACUCUACACCCAGGAGCUGAAGAAGGGGAGAAGACAACCAGAACAUCAACUAACUAUGCGUCCUUGUGCAAACGUGUGUGUCGGCUGGGCCGCGUGCAUUUUGCUUGUUGUGUGUUUGGGCGUGCUGGCUGAAGGAUAUCCAACAAAGCCGGAGAACCCAGGAGAGGACGCACCUGUUGAGGAACUAGCCAAGUAUUACUCCGCAUUGAGACAUUACAUCAACCUCAUAACGAGGCAGAGGUAUGGCAAAAGGUCCAACACUGAUGUAUUAACCCCAGACCUGCUGUUUGGAGAGGCAGAGAUACGACUGCAGUCCAGGUAAAAUGUAGAAACCGACUCCUGACCUGGUGACAUACUACUUAUGGAUUCACAAAUAAUAUAUGAUGACCCUUUGAUGUGGUGAUGUCAGUGUAGACAAAUAUGUCUAUGCUUGUUCAGUCAACAUUUCCAUCACUCUUAGAGGCAAUAACUUAUGACAUCAAAAAUGGCUACUUCCACCACUCCAUUGCAUUGAACUUUUUUGUUCUCAUAUGUGGUAAAUCUCUAGCAAGCACAAGGAUACACCAAACUUGUUAGUUAAAGAGUUUGUAACAGUGUUAGGUCUGUUUAGAACAUAACUGCAUGGUUUCAUCUACUGCUCAUGAGAUCAUAAAACAUCAUUGAUUUGCAUGUAAUCCCCAGCAUCCCCUAUGUAUAUAUACAGUAGAUAUAUAGACUUCCUGUAUUUAUGUUUGUUGUCUGCACUGUAGCACUAAUAAAGAAAAAACAUUACUGACUGGUGUGGUAUAAUUGUGAUAUUAAACCACUACAUUUCGAAGAGGUGACUGAUUUUUUUAAAAAAUGUUUUAUACACACUGAAUUAUUGGACAUAGCACAUGAGAGUUCACUUAAUGUCUCUAAUUAUUUCAGAGUAAGCAGCUAAAGUCACCUUGAUUAUUCUGUUAUUAUUCUAAUGGC